GGCAGACGACACACUCAUGUGGAAUUUCAACCUUUCGAACUGAUGAGUGUGGAAGUUAUUAUUUAUUUCCGCAUGAACAUGAUGCUAUCAAAAUUAAAUGUUGUCUUAAGGACGUGACUAGUCACCUAAAGAGUGUUGGGGUUGCAACAGGAGGCUCUUACCGGCAUUUUAGUUUGGGAGAAUCUAUGACAGUCAGAAGGUGAACUUAUUUUGUAUAGAGUCGGCCUAUAUGAUGAUCGUUUGUACAGGGAUAUUACAGUGUGUCCACAUCAUCGAUAUAAACUGGGUAUCUAUUUUAAACAAAAAAGAACAUGCAGCCACCCAUCUCAUUCUGGGAAUGGGAAAGCAUACAGAGGAAUUACAGUUCCUGAAAGUCGUGAUGUUUUGCAGUCUUUUGGUGUCCUUCUUCCAGUGGGUACAGGAUUAUGCAGAAGUUGCAGCAAAAAAGUAGCUCCUUCCACAAUUGAGGAUACAGAAGAUUUGGACACAACAGAGAAAGAAAAAACAGAAACAUCCAGCUGUUUAAGCAUAAUGAAUAUUG